rnacentral:rRNA from 1 species
GAUCAUGGCUCAGGACGAACGCUGGCGGCGUGCUUAACACAUGCAAGUCGAACGAGAAUCUGCGGAACGAGGAUUCGUCCAAGUGAAGCAGAGGACAGUGGCGGACGGGUGAGUAACGCGUGAGGAACCUGCCUUUCAGAGGGGGACGAACAGUUGGAAACGACUGCUAAUACCGCAUGACACAUAGAUGUCGCAUGGCAUUUAUGUCAAAGAUUUAUCGCUGAAAG